rnacentral:rRNA from 1 species
GACGAACGCUGGCGGCGUGCUUAACACAUGCAAGUCGAGCGGAAAGGCCACUUCGGUGGUACUCGAGCGGCGAACGGGUGAGUAACACGUGAGUAAUCUGCCCCUGGCUUAGGGAUAGCCACCGGAAACGGUGAUUAAUACCGGAUAUGACCACGUCUCGCAUGGGGUGUGGUGGAAAGUUUUUCGGCCAGGGAUGUGCCCGCGGCCUAUCAGCUUGAUGGUGAGGUAAUGGCUCACCAUGGCUUCGACGGGUAGCCGGCCUGAGAGGGUGACCGGUCACACUGGGACUGAGACACGGCCCAGACUCCUACGGGAGGCAGCAGUGGGGAAUAUUGGACAAUGGGCGGAAGCCUGAUCCAGCAACGCCGCGUGAGGGAUGACGGCCUUCGGGUUGUAAACCUCUUUCAGUACCGACGAAGCGCAAGUGACGGUAGGUACAGAAGAAGCACCGGCCAACUACGUGCCAGCAGCCGCCGUAACAC